rnacentral:rRNA from 1 species
AGUGAACGCUGGCGGUAGGCCUAACACAUGCAAGUCGAACGGCAGCACAGAGGAGCUUGCUCCUUGGGUGGCGAGUGGCGGACGGGUGAGGAAUACAUCGGAAUCUACUCUGUCGUGGGGGAUAACGUAGGGAAACUUACGCUAAUACCGCAUACGACCUACGGGUGAAAGCAGGGGAUCUUCGGACCUUGCGCGAUUGAAUGAGCCGAUGUCGGAUUAGCUAGUUGGCGGGGUAAAGGCCCACCAAGGCGACGAUCCGUAGCUGGUCUGAGAGGAUGAUCAGCCACACUGGAACUGAGACACGGUCCAGACUCCUACGGGAGGCAGCAGUGGGGAAUAUUGGACAAUGGGCGCAAGCCUGAUCCAGCCAUACCGCGUGGGUGAAGAAGGCCUUCGGGUUGUAAAGCCCUUUUGUUGGGAAAGAAAUCCAGCCGGCUAAUACCUGGUUGGGAUGACGGUACCCAAGAAUAAGC